rnacentral:rRNA from 1 species
GAUGAACGCUGGCGGCGUGCCUAAUACAUGCAAGUCGUACGGAAAGGCCCUUCGGGGGUACUCGAGUGGCGGACGGCUGAGUAACGCGUGGGAACGUGCCCCAAAGUGAGGGAUAACGCACCGAAAGGUGUGCUAAUACCGCAUAUGGUCUUCGGAUUAAAGCUUCGGCGCUUUGGGAGCGGCCCGCGUACGAUUAGAUAGUUGGUGAGGUAAUGGCUCACCAAGUCGACGAUCGUUAGCUGGUCUGAGAGGAUGAUCAGCCAGACUGGGACUGAGACACGGCCCAGACUCCUACGGGAGGCAGCAGUAAGGAAUCUUCCACAAUGGGGGCAACCCUGAUGGAGCAUCGCCGCGUGCAGGAUGAAGGUUUUCGGAUCGUAAACUGCUUUUAUAAGUGAAGAAUAUGACGGUAACUUAUGAAUAAGGAUCGGCUAACUACGUGCCAGCCGCCGCAGUAA